AGUGAACGCUGGCGGUAGGCCUAACACAUGCAAGUCGAACGGCAGCACAGUAAGAGCUUGCUCUUACGGGUGGCGAGUGGCGGACGGGUGAGGAAUACAUCGGAAUCUACUUUUUCGUGGGGGAUAACGUAGGGAAACUUACGCUAAUACCGCAUACGACCUACGGGUGAAAGCAGGGGAUCUUCGGACCUUGCGCGAUUGAAUGAGCCGAUGUCGGAUUAGCUAGUUGGCGGGGUAAAGGCCCACCAAGGCGACGAUCCGUAGCUGGUCUGAGAGGAUGAUCAGCCACACGGGAACUGAGACACGGUCCAGACUCCUACGGGAGGCAGCAGUGGGGAAUAUUGGACAAUGGGCGCAAGCCUGAUCCAGCCAUACCGAGUGGGUGAAGAAGGCCUUCGGGUUGUAAAGCCCUUUUGUUGGGAAAGAAAAGCAGCAGGUUAAUACCCCGCUGUUCUGACGGUACCCAAAGAAUAAGCACCGGCUAACUUCGUG
rnacentral:rRNA from 1 species